UACGUAGGGGGCGAGCGUUGUCCGGAGUUACUGGGCGUAAAGGGCACGCAGGCGGUGCGGCGCGUUUCGCGUGACAGCGGAGGGCUUAACUCUCCGAGGAUGCGAAAGACGGCGGCACUUGAGGGCCAGAGAGGGACACGGAAUUCCGGGUGGAGUGGUGAAAUGCGCAGAUAUCAGGAGGAACACCAAUAGCGAAGGCAGCUCGCUGGGACGUUACUGACACUGAGGCGCGAAAGCGUGGGGAGCGAACAGG
rnacentral:rRNA from 1 species